GCCGUAGUGGCGGAACUGGCAGACGCGCGGGACUUAAAAUCCCGUGGUGGCGACAUCAUACCGGUUCGAUUCCGGUCUACGGCA
rnacentral:tRNA from 1 species